UAUUGAGGAUUUGAAAAGUUUUUAUAUUAGUUAAAUACAUUAUUAGUAUUUUAAAUUAUGAUGAUUAUGAGAUAUUAAUUUUACUUUCUUAUUUUAAUGGGGUGUUAUGUCUGUGUACACAACUGCAUGCAUAUUUCUGUGGUCAUGUGUUCAGGGUAUUAUUUUGUGUUACUUUUUGUAAUGAGUAUUCUUUUUCCUCCUCAAUUUGUUUUAAUUAAAUUAUGUAAAAACCCAAAGCACCACCAUGUCCAUGAUUGUUUGAACAAGUUCAUUUGGAUGAUUUGCUUAAUUGUUUGAAGUAGUUUCUCCUUCAGAGACUGCUUAUCAAUACCAGCUGUGGCACUGUGGCUUUUCUCCAUGGACUCAUGGUGGUCUUUGGAACAACGUUCUUCAACUUUGACAGGAUAUUAUUUGGCCACCAAAAGGAAUGAAAUACUUGCAUAUGCCACAACAUGGAUGAACCUUGAAAACAUUAUGGUAAGUGAAAGAAGUCAGUCACAAAUGACCACACACUAUGUUAUUCCACUCAUAUGAACAUUUGGAAAAGGGACAUUUAUAGAGACAGAAAAUAAAUUAGUGGUUGCUCAGAGUUAUGGGGGAUGAGGAGUGAUAGCUUAA